rnacentral:rRNA from 1 species
CUCUGUGACUCCUACGGGAGGCAGCAGUGGGGAAUAUUGCACAAUGGGCGCAAGCCUGAUGCAGCCAUGCCGCGUGUAUGAAGAAGGCCUUCGGGUUGUAAAGUACUUUCAGCAGUGAGGAAGGCGGAGUCGUUAAUAGCGGCCUCGUUUGACGUUAGCUGCAGAAGAAGCACCGGCUAACUCCGUGCCAGCAGCCGCGGUAAUACGGAGGGUGCGAGCGUUAAUCGGAAUUACUGGGCGUAAAGCGCAUGCAGGUGGUUUGUUAAGUCAGAUGUGAAAGCCCGGGGCUCAACCUCGGAAUUGCAUUUGAAACUGGCAGACUAGAGUACUGUAGAGGGGGUAGAAUUUCAGGUGUAGCGGUGAAAUGCGUAGAGAUCUGAAGGAAUACCGGUGGCGAAGGCGGCCCCCCUGGACAGAUACUGACACUCAGAUGCGAAAGCGUGGGGAGCAAACAGGAUUAGAUACCCUGGUAG